rnacentral:rRNA from 1 species
AGUGAACGCUGGCGGCGUGCCUAAUACAUGCAAGUCGAACGGAGUGGCGCACGGGUUAGUAAUAUAUAGCUAAUCUGCCCCUUGCUGGCGGACAACAUUUAGAAAUGACUGCUAAUACUCCAUAGAACGAGAUGAGACUAUAUCGUAUCAGCGAGUCGGUGGGGUAACGGCCUACCGAGGCUAUGACGCGUAACUGGUCUGAGAGGAUGAUCAGUCACAUGGGAACUGAGACACGGUAGAAACUCCUACGGGAGGCAGCAGGAGGGAAUAGUGCGAAAUGGGGAAAACCCUGACGCAGCAACGCCGCGAGGAGGAUGACACUGUGCGGAGCGAAAACUCCUUUUGUGAGGGAAGCGGUACCUAACGAAUAAGCACCGGCUAACUCCGUGCCAGCAGCCGCGGUAAUAC